rnacentral:lncRNA from 1 species
AAGACGAUGGCGAGGAGACACACUUUUCUUUUUAAUUGAGAUCCCCUCCCUUCUCCUUUCUAUCCCUGUAAUUUCUGUCGUUUUCCUUUUCCUCUGGAUUUUUUUUCCAGGUGCGGUUGCCUGUCGGCCACUUUUACUGACGUCAUUUUGGUCACAUAUAAACCUGCGCCCACUACAUUUUUCUCCAGUUUAUUGUUUGCUGGAAUAGUUCCAUGGAGUUUCCCAUCGCGGAGUUCUGGUAUCUCCUGUGUCUGGUGUGUUGUUUAACGCGGUUCAAAGUUCAAAACAUUAAAAGUCCCAUUCUGUAUGUACACAAAUGCAGCUAUGACCACAAAAGCUGAGAUCACUCCUAUAACGGCUCUCGGACUGCUUCUAGUCACUUUUUGCGUGGUCCAGCUUCAAGUUCAGGCCACAGAGAUCACGCUGCUGGAAAUUUCCAAAUCGGUGAUCAAAAGUCUGACCAACUGCGAUAAGAGAAAUGUGACUUUGAGUGUAUGCCUGAAGAAGAGGUCCGUGAUCUUGCUCGAUAAGUACUCGAGGGCCCCGGAUCCGAUCAGUUUGAUGAGCAAUUCUUUGAGUCUGGUGAAAAGCGAAGUCUCGGUGAAUUCGACGGAGAGCAACCGUCGAUGGGCGAUUCUGGUUUGACGCCGGAAAAACUGGACGAGUACCUGCCCGCGGAGGAAAGCUCUCGUCAGCGAGUGCUUGAUGCUUUACUCGUGGGAUCCGUCUCAAAGUUUCUUCAGUCUCGAUCUCUCCAAGUCAAGUUGCCUCAGUUUUUGGCCCGCUACAUCAUUCCGGAUUGGACGAAGGUUAGUGCUUACCGAAAAAUGGACCGAGUUCGUCAGAGAGGAACCAACCCACAUUAAGUUGAAACAAAGAACACUUAAAUCGGGACCAAGGCCGCAAAUAAUAAAAGAACACAUAAAAUAAAAUAAAAGCCCGGACGUUUCGCAGGAUCGCACCCGCAUUUUCAACCGGCAAAAACAAAGAAGAUUAGAAAGAAGAACGAUAUGAACCUCACCGCUGUUAUUGUGAGACUGAUAGUGCAGUUAGUUGAAACUAACUGUUAAGUUGAAACUGAGAGAAAGAGGUUUGAAGUUUUAUUCCUGAAUUAGGCUCAAUGAAGAAAUUAACUUUGACCCCUAUCUUCGCGAACCAAUUUCCUUUUUUUGACUUUCAGAUUUUGGCAGAGGAGAUAUACUGCUAAUAA